CUAUUUCAGACGAGGAUCUGAUCACUGAUAUUCUUGAGGGAUUGGGUGAAGAUUUCCGACCCUUUUCCCGUUCAAUUAAGGCUCGAAAUUAUCCCAUUAGUUAUGAUGAUCUUUAUGCGUUGAUGUUGAGUGAGGAAA
rfam:Jatropha curcas cultivar GZQX0401 scaffold121_23, whole genome shotgun sequence.